ACAGUAACACCAGUGCACUGAUUCAGCUACCAGUGCUGUGUUCUUGAGGUUCGGUCUCUUCUGCCCCAGGGUUCCUGCCUUGAAUUCCUGUCCUGACUGCCCUUUGUGGAGGACUGACUGUGGCCCAAGAGGUGUCUUUGAGUAGAAGGAGAGCAGGCUGAGCAGUUUUCAUAAAGAACAGACCACGCCAAGGCCCAUCCGUGAAGAACAACCAGCGUCUGCAGGAUUGGUGAAUAGUUCCUGUGUAGUGAGAAUACUGCUUUCCAGGGACCACUGAAGAGGCAAAUAGGAGUCAAUUCUUACUUCACUUCUGCAAAGCUUCAUACCAUAUUACGCUGAGUAAUGUUGAAUUUCCAGAUCAUUGUGGGAAGGAUCUGGGGAAAAAAAAUUGUAUUUUUUUUCAAUUACAAAAUAUAAAAGUAAAAACAAAAAUUCA
rnacentral:lncRNA from 1 species